AACUCCUAAGGCUAUCCCUUUUUGCUGAUAGCCUUAGCGGUUGUCAGCGACCCAUAUCAAAGGUGAGCCAGUACAGGAUGGACCCGCGUCUGAUUAGCUAGUUGGUAAGGUAACGGCUUACCAAGGCGACGAUCAGUAGCCGACCUGAGAGGGUGAUCGGCCACAUUGGGACUGAGACACGGCCCAGACUCCUACGGGAGGCAGCAGUGGGGAAUCUUCCGCAAUGGACGAAAGUCUGACGGAGCAACGCCGCGUGAGUGAUGACGGCCUUCGGGUUGUAAAGCUCUGUUAAUCGGGACGAAAGGCCUUCUUGCGAAUAGUGAGAAGGAUUGACGGUACCGGAAUAGAAAGCCACGGCUAACUACGUGCCAGCAGCCGCGGUAAUACGUAGGUGGCAAGCGUUGUCCGGAAUUAUUGGGCGUAAAGCGCGCGCAGGCGGAUAGGUCAGUCUGUCUUAAAAGUUCGGGGCUUAACCCCGUGAUGGGAUGGAAACUGCCAAUCUAGAGUAUCGGAGAGGAAAGUGGAAUUCCUAGUGUAGCGGUGAAAUGCGUAGAUAUUAGGAAGAACACCAGUGGCGAAGGCGACUUUCUGGACGAAAACUGACGCUGAGGCGCGAAAGCCAGGGGAGCGAACGGGAUUAGAUACCCCGGUAGUCCUGGCCGUAAACGAUGGGUACUAGGUGUAGGAGGUAUCGACCCCUUCUGUGCCGGAGUUAACGCAAUAAGUACCCCGCCUGGGGAGUACGACCGCAAGGUUGAAACUCAAAGGAAUUGACGGGGGCCCGCACAAGCGGUGGAGUAUGUGGUUUAAUUCGACGCAACGCGAAGAACCUUACCAGGUCUUGACAUUGAUGGACAGAACCAGAGAUGGUUCCUCUUCUUCGGAAGCCAGAAAACAGGUGGUGCACGGUUGUCGUCAGCUCGUGUCGUGAGAUGUUGGGUUAAGUCCCGCAACGAGCGCAACCCUUGUCUUUAGUUGCCAUCAUUAAGUUGGGCACUCUAGAGAGACUGCCAGGGAUAACCUGGAGGAAGGUGGGGAUGACGUCAAAUCAUCAUGCCCCUUAUGCUUAGGGCUACACACGUGCUACAAUGGGUAGUACAGAGGGUUGCCAAGCCGUAAGGUGGAGCUAAUCCCUUAAAGCUACUCUCAGUUCGGAUUGUAGGCUGAAACUCGCCUACAUGAAGCUGGAGUUACUAGUAAUCGCAGAUCAGAAUGCUGCGGUGAAUGCGUUCCCGGGUCUUGUACACACCGCCCGUCACACCACGGGAGUUGGAGACGCCCGAAGAAAUUGUCGCAGCUCAUGAAGCGCGUAUUCCGGUGAUCCGUCGUGCUGAAAU
rnacentral:rRNA from 1 species